rnacentral:rRNA from 1 species
UACGUAGGGAGAAAGCGUUAAUCGGAAUUACUGGGCGUAAAGCGUGCGCAGGCGGUUCCAUAAGACAGAUGUGAAAUCCCCGGGCUCAACCUGGGAACUGCAUUUGUGACUGUGGGGCUAGAGUACUGUAGAGGGGGAUGGAAUUCCGCGUGUAGCAGUGAAAUGCGUAGAUAUGCGGAGGAACACCAAUGGCGAAGGCAAUCCCCUGGACCUGUACUGACGCUCAUGCACGAAAGCGUGGGGAUCAAACAGG